AUUGAACGCUGGCGGCAUGCUUUACACAUGCAAGUCGAACGGUAACAGGUCUUCGGAUGCUGACGAGUGGCGAACGGGUGAGUAAUGCAUCGGAACGUGCCCAGUCGUGGGGGAUAACGCAGCGAAAGCUGUGCUAAUACCGCAUACGAUCUAUGGAUGAAAGCGGGGGAUCGCAAGACCUCGCGCGAUUGGAGCGGCCGAUGUCAGAUUAGCUAGUUGGUGGGGUAAAGGCCCACCAAGGCGACGAUCUGUAGCUGGUCUGAGAGGAUGAUCCGCCACACUGGGACUGAGACACGGCCCAGACUCCUACGGGAGGCAGCAGUGGGGAAUUUUGGACAAUGGGCGAAAGCCUGAUCCAGCCAUGCCGCGUGAGUGAAGAAGGCC
rnacentral:rRNA from 1 species